ensembl:rRNA 5S_rRNA 5S ribosomal RNA
GCCAGCAGCCAUAUUACCCUGCAACUCACAACUGGCAACCCACUGAAGCUAAGCAGGUGUGAGCCUGGUCAGUACCUGGAUGGGAGACCUCUUGGGAAAAACUAAGGUUGCUGCUAGAA